UAACGUAGGGUGCGAAGCGUUAAUCGGAAUUACUGGGGCGUAAAGCGUGCGCAGGCGGUUGUGCAAGACCGAUGUGAAAUCCCCGGGCUUAACCUGGGAAUGGCAUUGGUGACUGCACGGCUAGAGUGUGUCAGAGGGGGGUAGAAGUUCCACGUGUAGCAGUGAAAUGCGUAGAGAUGUGGAGGAAUACCGAUGGCGAAGGCAGCCCCUGGGACUACGACUGACGCUCAUGCACGAAAGCGUGGGGAGCGAACAGG
rnacentral:rRNA from 1 species